GGAGUCUUUCUAGUUGAACCCUAAAGUUACACAGUGGGUCCAUUCCUUUUUCUCACCAUUUUAUUCUCUUUUUGUGAUUCACCCAAAACUAUUAUUUUUGUAAACAAAUCUCGUCAAAAGUUAUAACUAUUAUUUUAUUUACCUAAUAGGAAACCCUAGUUAAGACACCCAAGUAAUUCUACACAAUCCCUAAAAUUUUCAGAAUAAACAGAAUCAGGAUCAGGGCCCCUAAAACUCGAGGGGGGUAAACCCUAGUUGGACGAUUAUCUAAAAUAAUCGUUGUAGAAAGCUGAUUGGUUAAUUUUAUUGAUUCAGCAUAGCUAGUCCCAACCAUGGCCGACCUAUGAUAAAUAGGUGUCCCUUACGGACCGUAAGGGAUAUGGCUUACGGUCCGUAAGCCUGUCCCAAAAAAUUAGUAUAAAUAGCAGACAUUGGCAGUCGGUUUAUGCUGCUCAAACGACGUUCAAAGUCGUAAUACACACGGAGUUAUACCCUUGAAACACACACGAAUCACUAAUUAGUAUAGCGGGGUGCUGCUACGAUACAGGGUAUUAACUCGAUCGCUAUUACGAUUCAUUUUACGACCGAUCAAUAUAUCCAAUGGAUGUUUAAGUGCCACCCACAUUAGGGUUAUACUUUGUCGUUCGUCGUUAAAUCGAUGGAUGUUUAAGUAUCGCACUUUGUCGUUCGUUGUGAGAAUUUGAUCUCGUGAGUUAUCGUAAUUGUUGUAUUAAGUUACCUACCUAGUUCGUAUGCACUAGGUUACAAGGCUAAAUCAAUAGGCUAAGCUCUGCCUGUGUAAAUCUGCAAUAUAUCAAGGCUUAUGUGUAGACUAAACUUUGGCCGUAUGAAUCUGCAUGAUUAUAAUGUAAUUACAGUAGAUUGGAGUAAGGAUUGGAUCCGGCACUAAAAGACUUCAAGAAGUGGCUUAUUUUAUUAAUUAAAUCAAAUUAAGAAAUAUUGUUUUUAUUAAAAGCUACCUUUGUAAAACAUGGAAUUUAUUCCAUCUAUUUAAAUAAAAUCCGGUGU
rnacentral:lncRNA from 1 species